AACGAACGCUGGCGGCAGGCCUAACACAUGCAAGUCGAGCGAGGACUUCGGUUCUAGCGGCGGACGGGUGAGUAACGCGUGGGAAUGUGCCCUUCUCUACGGAAUAGCCCUGGGAAACUGGGAGUAAUACCGUAUACGCCCUAUUGGGGAAAGAUUUAUCGGAGAAGGAUCAGCCCGCGUUGGAUUAGGUAGUUGGUGGGGUAAUGGCCUACCAAGCCGACGAUCCAUAGCUGGUUAGAGAGGAUGAUCAGCCACACUGGGACUGAGACACGGCCCAGACUCCUACGGGAAGCAGCAGUGGGGAAUCUUAGACAAUGGGGGCAACCCUGAUCUAGCCAUGCCGCGUGAGUGAUGAAGGCCUUAGGGUUGUAAAGCUCUUUCAGCUGGGAAGAUAAUGACGGUACCAGCAGAAGAAGCCCCGGCUAACUCCGUG
rnacentral:rRNA from 1 species